rnacentral:rRNA from 1 species
GUGCAGCACGCGAGAAUUUUUCUCAAUGGGGGAAACCCUGAAGGAGCGACGCCGCGUGGAGGAUGAAGGCUUUCGGGUUGUAAACUCCUGUCAUUUGGGAACAAGUGGCCGAACAUAACUGCUUCGGCCUUGAUAGUACCAGAAGAGGAAGAGACGGCUAACUCUGUGCCAGCAGCCGCGGUAAUACAGAGGUCUCAAGCGUUGUUCGGAUUCAUUGGGCGUAAAGGGUGCGUAGGUGGCGCCAUAAGUCGGGUGUGAAAUCUCGGGGCUUAACUCCGAAACUGCAUUCGAUACUGUGGUGCUUGAGGACUGGAGAGGAGACUGGAAUUCAUGGUGUAGCAGUGAAAUGCGUAGAGAUCAUGAGGAAGACCAGUGGCGAAGGCGGGUCUCUGGACAGUUCCUGACACUGAGGCACGAAGGCCAGGGGAGCAAACGGGAUUAGAUACCCCUGUAGU